UCAACAUGUAUUGAUUGAACAUGUAUUUAUAUUCAUUUCUUACAAGGUAAAUCUUACAAACUCUUCCUUAAAUACACUACUUUGAAAAAAAUAUAUAAUCAUUGGCACUUGACACUAAUCAAUGACUUUUGAAUAUAGAUACAGUCCAACCAAGCCACCAGCUAUUGCAUGAUAUGGGAAUAUCUAAAGUCGUGGAGCUGCUUUCCAAAGUGCUGGAAGAAAAUAAAUUGAUGAAAGCGGAAAUUACCAACCUGGGGAGUGAAGUGAGGGCGCUUAGGAGAGAGAUGGUGAGGCCGGUAGCACCAGAAGCUGCCGCUUCGUCCAUCAAGCUGCCUCUGAGGACAAUGGAGGAGUUUCAAUUAGCAGAGGCUGUUAUGAGAGAAACCCCCUGCGAAAAACAAAAGAUGAUCUUAACAUUCAGUCUAAUUGGAGGGCACACUGCAGAAGAGGCCGUAAGAAGGAUGUUGCAGAGUGGCCUAACAAAUAACCUGGCGUGUCGCUUCAUAGUGCAGUAAAAUGAGACUGAGAGGACAGUGAAACCACUGCACUGCGCACCAGCGUUAAGGGUCUGUGGUUAGGAAACAAAUUGCUGACUUUUUGCCUGGUGCACUAUGCCAUGGUGGCCAUGGCCAUGUUACAGCUUACCGUCGCCAUGUUGGUAAUUCUUGACCGGGUUUGUUUUUCUUUCUUUCAGCUGCACUCCAAAAACAGCUGCCAGGGACCACCCAUAUUGUUUUUUCAGGGACACUGAAGAAGUGGCUUAAAUAUGCACCGGAGAGAGAGGGAGGUGGAGGGAGGCGAACAAAUGAACGCGAUCAGGCGCCGCAGGAUCCUCGACCAUGAAUGAAUGU